GCGCGAGUAGCUCAGUUGGUAGAGCAUCAGCUUCCCAAGCUGAGGGUCGCGGGUUCGAAGCCCGUCUCGCGCUCCA
rnacentral:tRNA from 1 species